AGAGUUUGAUCCUGGCUCAGGACAAACGCUGGCGGCGUGCAUAAAACAUGCAAGUCGAACGGAUCAGAUCCCGCAAGGGAUCUGGUCAGUGGCGAACGGCUGAGUAACACGUAGGUGACCUGCCCCGAAGUGGGGGAUAACACCUCGAAAGAGGUGCUAAUACCGCAUGUGACCACCGGCCCAUUCCGGUGCUCAAAGUCGCAAGACGCUUUGGGAGGGGCCUGCGGCCGAUUAGCUAGUUGGUGGGGUAACGGCCUACCAAGGCUUCGAUCGGUAGCUGGUCUGAGAGGAUGGCCAGCCAGACUGGGACUGAGACACGGCCCAGACUCCUACGGGAGGCAGCAGUUAGGAAUUUUGCGCAAUGGGGGAAACCCUGACGCAGCCACGCCGCGUGCGGGAUGAAGGCCUCCGGGUCGUAAACCGCUUUUCUCGGGGAAGACACCCGACGGUACUCGAGGAAUAAGCAACGGCUAACUACGUGCCAGCAGCGGCGGUAAUUC
rnacentral:rRNA from 1 species